rnacentral:lncRNA from 1 species
CGGGAGUGGACUGAACAGAGUUUAAAGUUUUUAUCACUGCUGUUUUCCACUUCUGCAGGUAGAGAGGUAAUUGUACAAAAGACUUGGGAAUCCAGGAUAAGAUUCACUCUGUGGAGCACGGACAGAAAGUAUGAAUGAGCUUAAAGGGCUCAAAUAGCUGGGGAAGAAAAGAAAAAAGGUGAAUCAACUAAGAAGGCAGAGGACAAUGAAAAGUGAUGUAAAAGGGAAAAUGUAAAUGUGCCUUUACAGUCAGGACCUUGCAGGGAAUAGCAGGUCUUUUCCUGAGGCACUUGAAUUCAAGUCCUACUUGACUGAUUUCCCUUCUCCUCAGAGAAAGGCCACUCAGCUGCUAAUGAAGGAGCAAGCCUCAAGAUUUUGCUUUAGUAACUCCUUGGCAAGUCAGCUCCAACUAAAAACAUUAUACAGUGAGUGUUCAGCACAUCUGCCAUCUUGACUGCAAAGAGUGAGUGUUUACACUUCAGGUUUCAUUUUGGAAAAUAUUCCACUGUCACAAUAAAGCUAUUGCUUGGAGCUGGGGAAAGAAAAAUAAGGGACAAAUCAAACACACCACCCUAAAAAAACCCCACAUAUUGAUAUAUAAUCAUUAUUUUGUAAUUCACUUAGUUUAUCUGUGACGAACUGGGAAUUAUCUAAAAAAGCAGAGACAUGCAAAGCGAUGCAGCAGAACAGGCAAAGUCCAAACUGCUGGCAGAGAAUGUAGGUGUGCACUUCCAUUCUCAACACCUCUACACUUCUGAUGAGUUUACAGCCCAUGCUACCACAAAGCACUCAUCAGCAAAACACAACUGGACAGCAACAGUUGAGUUAAAGAUUCCUCUGCAUAGCCAUAUGUGAGCCAAAUGUUAUGCAGUAUCUAGAAAACCCAGAAUAAAUUGUAAACGUUUUGUAGAUUACUAAUCUCUUAGUUGAAGACAGAAAGCCUUU